AUGGGGUACAUCGGCGCGCACGGCGUGGAGACGCUGAAGCGCUACAGGUACAGCGGCCAGGACCACUCGGUGGUGGCCAAGUACGUUCUGCAGCCCUUCUGGAGCCGCUGCGUCACCCUCUUCCCGCUCUGGAUGCCACCAAACAUGAUCACACUCAUGGGGUUUAUGUUUCUACUUACAUCUUCGCUGCUUAGCUAUAUUUAUUCACCCCACCUUGACACAGCUCCCCCUCGGUGGGUCCAUCUUGCCCAUGGAAUACUUCUCUUCUUGUACCAGACUUUUGAUGCCGUUGAUGGUAAACAAGCAAGGCGCACCAGCUCAUCAAGUCCUCUAGGAGAACUUUUUGAUCAUGGAUGUGACGCCCUUGCCUGCGCUUUUGAAGCCUUGGCCCUUGGAAGCACCUUGAUGUGUGGAAGGUUGACAUUCUGUUAUUGGGUGGUUGCUGCUGUCCCAUUUUAUCUGGCAACAUGGGAACACUACUUCACAAAUACUCUUAUUCUUCCUGUAAUAAAUGGACCAACGGAAGGCCUGAUGCUGAUCUAUGUCUCCCACCUUUUUACCUUUUUUACUGGUGCUGAAUGGUGGGCGCAAGAUUUUCGAAAAUCCCUCCCUCUUAUUAGUUUGGUUCCACUUCCAUUUGUUCCAGAAAUCCCCUUAUAUGUUAUCGUGCUGAUUCUGAUGAUCAUGUUUGCUGUAAUCCCAACAGUUGGAUCCAAUAUUGGUAAUGUCCAAAAAGUAGUUGAUGCACGGAAAGGGAGCAUGGAAUUAGCAUUAGCAAUGCUCCUUCCAUUUAUUGCGCUGUUAGCUGGAGUUGCUGUCUGGUGUUAUCUCUCUCCUUCAGAUAUCAUGAAGAACCAGCCACAUCUGCUUGUGAUUGGAACUGGUUCUGCUUUUGGAUAUUUGGUUGGAAGGAUGAUACUUGCUCAUUUGUGUGACGAGCCCAAAGGUCUAAAAACAGGAAUGUGCAUGGCUCUGGUGUUUCUUCCUUUUGCUAUCGCAAAUGCUCUCACCGCAAAGAUUAACGACGGGACUCCUUUGGUUGAUGAGCUUUUGGUUAUUCUUCUGUAUUGUGCAACCUCAGUGGGUCUUUACAUGCAUCUCGCCAUUUCGGUUUGUCAUGAAAUCAAGGAUGCUCUUGGAAUCUAUUGCUUCAGGAUAGCCAGAAAAGAGGCUUGA
rnacentral:rRNA from 1 species